rnacentral:lncRNA from 1 species
CAUAACCAGCCUUCAUCCAGAACUUGUUUCUCUGCUUAGGAAAGAAGAUAAAUAGCUAUGAUAUGCACUAGCAAUGUGGUAUUCCCCUCAUAGAGAACAGAAAAGGUCUGGUAAAAUCUUCCCACAAAGAAGAUGACAUUUGCUGGCUGUUCUCCAAUUUGCAGAAGGAAGCAGUGAGCUUGCCUGCACACCAGGGAUGGGAAGAGGCUCAGACUUUUUAUGGCCUCAGAGCCUUAGGUCCCACCUCAAGUUUUGACUCUAGUGUAGUUCUUGUAUUCCCAGAAUCUGAAGUUGUUCGGAAGUAGACUUGGAUUACUGACUGAGGCCUCAUUCCCUACCAGUCAGUGGAAAGCAGAGGUCUCUCCCUACUGAGCAAUGGGGUGAAAAGAGAAGGGAACCCCUUGACUCCCUCCAUGAAUAGGUCUUGCCCCGUUUCACUUCACUGCUGAGACAGGGACAGUGCCCAUGGCCUCCUAAAUUGCAAUUCCUGCAGUUAAGUGAUCAUCUAUUUUAAAAAGGCUUCAGAGCUUCUGGUGUGGAGAAAAAUGUGAAGACAUAAACUCUGAGAGCUCAGUAAGCAAUGCAAAUUUUAAAAACAAAAAUAGCACUAUUUUUAAAUCUCACAGAUUUUUUUGCGGGGUCAGAGAGAUGAAGGAAGAGUACAGAACUGAAAACAAGAAAGACUGAUUUUGUAUUUUUAAAAACAAUCUGGAUUUGGCACUCCUCCACUCUGCUCUAGGAAACCAAGAUGUAUUCAUGAAGCUUCCCAUUGUAUUUUGUGGCUUUUUAUGUAUUGGAUCGAACUAUAAAUGAAAAAUUAUUUUAACUGCCUGUGUAAAGCAAAGAAGAAUAGCUUUUUCCUCCUGUCUUGCUUGCAGAAUCAGAGCCAGUGCCCUUGUCAGAAACCCUUCCCAGCAUUCAGACUGACUGAGAUAAGGAAGUGAAAAUGAAAAUUUUGAGUGAGCAGUGAGGGGAACAGAGAGAAUCCAGCCCUGGAGAAGAAACAGAAGACCUGUGGAAGAAAGAGCAGAGCCUGAAAGAAGCAGAGGUAACAGUGCCCAGGACACCAUGAGCCUUCAAAUUGAUUCAUGUAGUUGCAUAAAUUGGCUCAACAUGCUGUCACUUCCAAUGCACCACUAGCAGAAUUCCCUAUUUGUGCUGUGUGCAAUACAAUACAACCCAUGUAACCCAUGUCUUUAAGAACUCAUUAACUGAUUAACUGAUUAACCAACUUAUU